UGAGAGGAGGGUAUAGCUCAGUGGUAGAGCGCAUGCUUAACAUGCAUGGGGUCCUGGGUUCAAUCCCCAGUACCUCAA